CAUUUGAAAUUUGAAACUCCCUAGUGUUAGAAGUUUGAAGAUUUUCCAUGUGGGGCUUUCUCACGGUUUGAAUUUGAAUUUUGAAUAUCAAUAGCCAUGUUGAACUAUAUAUAAGAAGGAUAAGUUUCCAUUCUUUACCUUACCUUCAUUUGCUCAUCUUGUAGUGAUUUUUGAAGACAUAGUGCUCUUUACUUGAGAGGGAUUCUGGCAUUGCUUUGCUGCACCAUCUUCAGUGACACGAGGCACCAUCAAACUCUCCGGACAGGAGCUAGCUGAUGUAGAGAAAGUGUUGAGGGUGCCCAAAGAAGAUAGACACUUGGGUAAGCUACGACCCUUGUUUCGAAAGUACGGUUUCCAGCCCUUAGUUUCCGAGUGCCAGAGACGAGCGAUGGAGAAGGUGGGCAAGAAAGUGGAGAUUAGCACCAAGAAAAUGAGAGUGCCCAUGUUAGUUCCUUUAGAGA